rnacentral:rRNA from 1 species
GGGUUGUGAGGUUAAGCGACUAAGCGUACACGGUGGAUGCCCUGGCAGUCAGAGGCGAUGAAGGACGUGCUAAUCUGCGAAAAGCGUCGGUAAGGUGAUAUGAACCGUUAUAGCCGGCGAUGUCCGAAUGGGGAAACCCAGUGCAAUUCGUUGCACUAUCGUUAACUGAAUACAUAGGUUAACGAGGCGAACCGGGGGAACUGAAACAUCUAAGUACCCCGAGGAAAAGAAAUCAACCGAGAUUCCCCCAGUAGCGGCGAGCGAACGGGGAGCAGCCCAGAGUCUGAAUCAGCUUGUGUGUUAGUGGAACGGUCUGGAAAGUCCGACGGUACAGGGUGAUAGUCCCGUACACCAAAAUGCACAGGUUGUGAACUCGAAGAGUAGGGCGGGACACGUGGUAUCCUGUCUGAAUAUGGGGGGACCAUCCUCCAAGGCUAAAUACUCCUGACUGACCGAUAGUGAACCAGUACCGUGAGGGAAAGGCGAAAAGAACCCCGGCGAGGGGAGUGAAAAAGAACCUGAAACCGUGUACGUACAAGCAGUGGGAGCACCUUCGGGUGUGACUGCGUACCUUUGUAUAAUGGGUCAGCGACUUAUAUUCUGUAGCAAGGUUAACCGUAUAGGGAGCCGCAGGGAAACCGAGUCUUAACUGGGCGUUAAGUUGCAGGGUAUAGACCCGAAACCCGGUGAUCUAGCCAUGGGCAGGUUGAAGGUUGGGUAACACUAACUGGAGGACCGAACCGACUAAUGUUGAAAAAUUAGCGGAUGACUUGUGGCUGGGGGUGAAAGGCCAAUCAAACCGGGAGAUAGCUGGUUCUCCCCGAAAGCUAUUUAGGUAGCGCCUCGUGAACUCAUCUUCGGGGGUAGAGCACUGUUUCGGCUAGGGGGUCAUCCCGACUUACCAACCCGAUGCAAACUACGAAUACCGAAGAAUGUUAUCACGGGAGACACACGGCGGGUGCUAACGUCCGUCGUGAAGAGGGAAACAACCCAGACCGCCAGCUAAGGUCCCAAAGUCAUGGUUAAGUGGGAAACGAUGUGGGAAGGCACAGACAGCCAGGAUGUUGGCUUAGAAGCAGCCAUCAUUUAAAGAAAGCGUAAUAGCUCACUGGUCGAGUCGGCCUGCGCGGAAGAUGUAACGGGGCUAAACCAUGCACCGAAGCUGCGGCAGCGACACUAUGUGUUGUUGGGUAGGGGAGCGUUCUGUAAGCCUGCGAAGGUGUGCUGUGAGGCAUGCUGGAGGUAUCAGAAGUGCGAAUGCUGACAUAAGUAACGAUAAAGCGGGUGAAAAGCCCGCUCGCCGGAAGACCAAGGGUUCCUGUCCAACGUUAAUCGGGGCAGGGUGAGUCGACCCUAAGGCGAGGCCGAAAGGCGUAGUCGAUGGGAAACAGGUUAAUAUUCCUGUACUUGGUGUUACUGCGAAGGGGGACGGAGAAGGCUAUGUUAGCCGGGCGACGGUUGUCCCGGUUUAAGCAUGUAGGCUGGUUAUCCAGGCAAAUCCGGAUAAUCAAGGCUGAGGUGUGAUGACGAGGCACUACGGUGCUGAAGUAACAAAUGCCCUGCUUCGGGAAAAGCCUCUAAGCAUCAGGUAACAUCAAAUCGUACCCCAAACCGACACAGGUGGUCAGGUAGAGAAUACCAAGGCGCUUGAGAGAACUCGGGUGAAGGAACUAGGCAAAAUGGUGCCGUAACUUCGGGAGAAGGCACGCUGGUGUGUAGGUGAAGUCCCUGCGGAUGGAGCUGAGACCAGUCGAAGAUACCAGCUGGCUGCAACUGUUUAUUAAAAACACAGCACUGUGCAAACACGAAAGUGGACGUAUACGGUGUGACGCCUGCCCGGUGCCGGAAGGUUAAUUGAUGGGGUUAUCCGUAAGGAGAAGCUCUUGAUCGAAGCCCCGGUAAACGGCGGCCGUAACUAUAACGGUCCUAAGGUAGCGAAAUUCCUUGUCGGGUAAGUUCCGACCUGCACGAAUGGCGUAAUGAUGGCCAGGCUGUCUCCACCCGAGACUCAGUGAAAUUGAACUCGCUGUGAAGAUGCAGUGUACCCGCGGCAAGACGGAAAGACCCCGUGAACCUUUACUAUAGCUUGACACUGAACAUUGAGCCUUGAUGUGUAGGAUAGGUGGGAGGCUUUGAAGCGUGGACGCCAGUCUGCGUGGAGCCAACCUUGAAAUACCACCCUUUAAUGUUUGAUGUUCUAACGUUGGCCCCUUACCGGGGUUGCGGACAGUGUCUGGUGGGUAGUUUGACUGGGGCGGUCUCCUCCCAAAGCGUAACGGAGGAGCACGAAGGUUAGCUAAUCCUGGUCGGACAUCAGGAGGUUAGUGCAAUGGCAUAAGCUAGCUUGACUGCGAGCGUGACGGCGCGAGCAGGUGCGAAAGCAGGUCAUAGUGAUCCGGUGGUUCUGAAUGGAAGGGCCAUCGCUCAACGGAUAAAAGGUACUCCGGGGAUAACAGGCUGAUACCGCCCAAGAGUUCAUAUCGACGGCGGUGUUUGGCACCUCGAUGUCGGCUCAUCACAUCCGGGGCUGAAGUAGGUCCCAAGGGUAUGGCUGUUCGCCAUUUAAAGUGGUACGCGAGCUGGGUUUAGAACGUCGUGAGACAGUUCGGUCCCUAUCUGCCGUGGGCGCUGGAGAAUUGAGGGGGGCUGCUCCUAGUACGAGAGGACCGGAGUGGACGCAUCACUGGUGUUCGGGUUGUCAUGCCAAUGGCACUGCCCGGUAGCUAAAUGCGGAAGAGAUAAGUGCUGAAAGCAUCUAAGCACGAAACUUGCCCCGAGAUGAGUUCUCCCUGAGACUUUAAGUCUCCUGAAGGAACGUUAAAGACGAUGACGUUGAUAGGCCGGGUGUGUAAGCGCAGCGAUGCGUUGAGCUAACCGGUACUAAUGAACCGUGAGGCUUAACCUUACAACGCCGAAG